GCGUCUGAUCCGAGGCGGCCGCCUUCUCCCCGCGCGUGGUGCCUCCUGGGGUGACCGCUGCUCCGUCUCCGCCGCAGGCGCCCCCGGGCCACUCUCCCGUACCGCCUGGACCAGGAGUUGUGUUUCUGGGGCUGCCGGGGCCCGGCCUUGCCGCCUGUCGCCACCUGCAGCAGCCUGGGCGAUUACUGGCUGAGCCCGCAGCGCCGGCGCCCACCGGGCGCCACCUGGCGCUGGCCCGCUCGCAAUAUGCUGCUACUGCCAGGGGCCACCGGGCUGGCGGAUAUACCCUCGGCGCGCUGGCCCAGCUGCUACGGCGUUCGCCCGCGCCUCACGUGGAAGCACCGGUGGCAGAAUAUUAACUACCAGUAUCUGGGCAAGAGGAAGAGACAUCUAGUUCCUCUGCGCCCGUGAGAGCCGCCAACAGAUAUUUAUGGAGCCCCCCCUCAUUUGGAAAGUGAACUUGAGGCAGAAGAGAAUGGCUGGAGGGGCUGGACUUGUGUAGAGAGUCAAGCAAGAAGGCUGAUGAAGUAGCCCAGGUCCAGAUGAGGAGACUGAGGCUCAGAAGAGAGGGCCUAGAGCCACACAGCUGGGAAGUGACAAAGCCAACUCUUCACCCCUACAGUUGCCUCAACACAACAUUCCCUCACUGAAUCCUUGCCACAACCGGAAGUGGUACCCGAUGUCCUGGUUUUACAGCAGGUGUUGUGAUGCUCAGCAAGAGGAAGGGACUUGUCCAGGUCACAAAGCCCGAAGGUUGCAGCAGUUUGGAUCCAAAUCAUUUGGGGGGAACAGGUGAUGGGGCAAGAACAGUGUGGAGAGGAAGAGGUGGGACUGGCAACUGGACAAAAAGAGUGUUUCAGUUUCCCUUUUAAAGGGGCUUCCCCCAAAAUGGGGGAUUUUGGCUGGAAAGUUGUUAGUAAUCCACAUUCCACUGGUUUGGCCAUCUCCGCCUCAAAGGCUCCCAGGAACUGAAAAGAAACUGAAAGUUGGGAAGAGGGGAGGGGAGGAGGGAAGGGAGAGGCUGGGGACAGAGUAACUGGGUUGAGUUUCUGGUGACCUCACUGAGCCUGGGGGAGGCAGGCAGGCGAGCUGGGAUUACACACCUCUUAGCUAUUGGAAAAAUUGAGCCCCAGAGAGACACCCCUAUUUGUGGCUGGGUCCUUUGUGCAGCCACCCCCAACACACACACACAGACACACAGACACACAGACACACAGACACACAGACACACACACACACACACACACACACACACACACACACACACACGGCGUGGGGUGGGGGCAGGGGGAACCAGGGGAAGAGGGAGGAAAAUGGAGAAACGAAAGCUCUGGGCAGGAGUGUCCUCUGUGGUGCAAUGGAAUUGGUGGCAUCUCUGCAGUGUCAGAUUUAGGUUCAAACCCCAGCCCAGCACAGUGGGGUUAAAAGAUCCAACAGUGCCGCAGCUACGGUAUGGCUUGGAUCUGAUCCCUGACCAGGGAACGAUAUUCCACACGGUGGUCAGAAAA
rnacentral:lncRNA from 1 species